rnacentral:rRNA from 1 species
GCGCGGGCUUCGGCCUGGCGGCGAGUGGCGAACGGGUGAGUAAUACAUCGGAACAUGUCCUGUAGUGGGGGAUAGCCCGGCGAAAGCCGGAUUAAUACCGCAUACGAUCUGUGGAUGAAAGCGGGGGACCUUCGGGCCUCGCGCUAUAGGGUUGGCCGAUGGCUGAUUAGCUAGUUGGUGGGGUAAAGGCCUACCAAGGCGACGAUCAGUAGCUGGUCUGAGAGGACGACCAGCCACACUGGGACUGAGACACGGCCCAGACUCCUACGGGAGGCAGCAGUGGGGAAUUUUGGACAAUGGGCGCAAGCCUGAUCCAGCAAUGCCGCGUGUGUGAAGAAGGCCUUCGGGUUGUAAAGCACUUUUGUCCGGAAAGAAAUCAUCCUGGCUAAUAACCGGGGUGGAUGACGGUACCGGAAGAAUAAGCACCGGCUAACUACGUGCCAGCAGCCGCGGUAAUACGUAGGGUGCGAGCGUUAAUCGGAAUUACUGGGCGUAAAGCGUGCGCAGGCGGUUUGCUAAGACCGAUGUGAAAUCCCCGGGCUCAACCUGGGAACUGCAUUGGUGACUGGCAGGCUAGAGUAUGGCAGAGGGGGGUAGAAUUCCACGUGUAGCAGUGAAAUGCGUAGAGAUGUGGAGGAAUACCGAUGGCGAAGGCAGCCCCCUGGGCCAAUACUGACGCUCAUGCACGAAAGCGUGGGGAGCAAACAGGAUUAGAUACC